rnacentral:rRNA from 1 species
AGAGUUUGAUCAUGGCUCAGAGCGAACGCUGGCGGCGUGCUUAACACAUGCAAGUCGAACGCGCAGUUUUCUGUAGCAAUACAGGGAAUGGGCGCGUGGCGAACGGGUGCGUAACACGUGGGUAACCUUCCCUCAUGUGGGGGAUAACCCGCCGAAAGGCGGGCUAAUACCGCAUAACAUUCCGAUGGCCUCGGCUGUUGGAAUCAAAGCCCGCAAGGGCGCAAGAGGAGGGACCCGCGGCCGAUUAGCUUGUUGGCGAGGUAAUGGCUCACCAAGGCAUUGAUCGGUAGCCGGACUGAGAGGUUGGCCGGCCACACUGGAACUGAGACACGGUCCAGACUCCUACGGGAGGCAGCAGUGGGGAAUCUUGCGCAAUGGGGCAAAGCCUGACGCAGCAACGCCGCGUGGGGGAUGAAGCUUCUCGGAGUGUAAACCCCUUUCGACCCGGACGAAGGCCCGCAAGGGCUUGACGGUACGGGUAUAAGAAGCCCCGGCUAACUACGUGCCAGCAGCCGCGGUAAAACGUAGGGGGCCAGCGUUGCUCGGAAUUACUGGGCGUAAAGGGUCCGUAGGCGGUGUGGCAAGUCGGUAGUGAAAUCUCUGGGCUUAACUCAGAGGCUGCUGCCGAAACUGCCGUGCUCGAGUGCGAGAGAGGCGAGUGGAAUUGCAGGUGUAGCGGUGAAAUGCGUAGAUAUCUGCAGGAACAUCCGAGGCGAAAGCGGCUCGCUGGAUCGCAACUGACGCUGAGGGACGAAAGCUAGGGGAGCAAACAGGAUUAGAUACCCUGGUAGUCCUAGCCCUAAACGAUCAGGACUGGGGCGUGAGCCCUGUACGGGGCUCGUGCCGGAGCUAACGCCGUUAAGUCCUGCGCCUGGGGAGUACGGUCGCAAGCUGAAACUCAAAGGAUUUGACGG